rnacentral:rRNA from 1 species
UUAAGCGACUAAGCGUACACGGUGGAUGCCCUGGCAGUCAGAGGCGAUGAAGGGCGUGCUAAUCUGCGAUAAGCGCCGGUAAGGUGAUAUGAACCGUUAUAACCGGCGAUACCCGAAUGGGGAAACCCAGUGUGAUUCGUCACACUAUCAUUAACUGAAUCCAUAGGUUAAUGAGGCGAACCGGGGGAACUGAAACAUCUAAGUACCCCGAGGAAAAGAAAUCAACCGAGAUUCCCCCAGUAGCGGCGAGCGAACGGGGAGGAGCCCAGAGCCUGAAUCAGCAUGUGUGUUAGUGGAAGCGUCUGGAAAGGCGCGCGAUACAGGGUGACAGCCCCGUACACAAAAGCGCAUGUGCUGUGAGCUCGAUGAGUAGGGCGGGACACGUGGUAUCCUGUCUGAAUAUGGGGGGACCAUCCUCCAAGGCUAAAUACUCCUGACUGACCGAUAGUGAACCAGUACCGUGAGGGAAAGGCGAAAAGAACCCCGGCGAGGGGAGUGAAAAAGAACCUGAAACCGUGUACGUACAAGCAGUGGGAGCCCCACCACUAAGCCAGUGGUGAACUCCACAUACGCAUCCUUUGCUGAGGAUACGGUUAACGGAGCGCAAGCGACGUUCAACCUCAAAAGAAGCAGAGGGGGCUUAGUGGUGGGGUGACUGCGUACCUUUUGUAUAAUGGGUCAGCGACUUAUAUUCUGUAGCAAGGUUAACCGUAUAGGGGAGCCGGAGGGAAACCGAGUCUUAAUUGGGCGUUAAGUUGCAGGGUAUAGACCCGAAACCCGGUGAUCUAGCCAUGGGCAGGUUGAAGGUUGGGUAACACUAACUGGAGGACCGAACCGACUAAUGUUGAAAAAUUAGCGGAUGACCUGUGGCUGGGGGUGAAAGGCCAAUCAAACCGGGAGAUAGCUGGUUCUCCCCGAAAGCUAUUUAGGUAGCGCCUCGUGAAUUCAUCUCCGGGGGUAGAGCACUGUUUCGGCUAGGGGGCCAUCCCGGCUUACCAACCCGAUGCAAACUGCGAAUACCGGAGAAUGUUAUCACGGGAGACACACGGCGGGUGCUAACGUCCGUCGUGAAGAGGGAAACAACCCAGACCGCCAGCUAAGGUCCCAAAGUCAUGGUUAAGUGGGAAACGAUGUGGGAAGGCCCAGACAGCCAGGAUGUUGGCUUAGAAGCAGCCAUCAUUUAAAGAAAGCGUAAUAGCUCACUGGUCGAGUCGGCCUGCGCGGAAGAUGUAACGGGGCUAAACCAUGCACCGAAGCUGCGGCAGCGACGCUGAUGCGUUGUUGGGUAGGGGAGCGUUCUGUAAGCCUGCGAAGGUGGCCUGUGAGGGUUGCUGGAGGUAUCAGAAGUGCGAAUGCUGACAUAAGUAACGAUAAAGCGGGUGAAAAGCCCGCUCGCCGGAAGACCAAGGGUUCCUGUCCAACGUUAAUCGGGGCAGGGUGAGUCGACCCCUAAGGCGAGGCCGAAAGGCGUAGUCGAUGGGAAACGGGUUAAUAUUCCCGUACUUGGUGUUACUGCGAAGGGGGGACGGAGAAGGCUAUGUUGGCCGGGCGACGGUUGUCCCGGUUUAAGCGUGUAGGUGUGUGUUCCAGGUAAAUCCGGUUCACUUUAACACUGAGGCGUGAUGACGAGGCACUACGGUGCUGAAGCAACAAAUGCCCUGCUUCCAGGAAAAGCCUCUAAGCAUCAGGUAACAUCAAAUCGUACCCCAAACCGACACAGGUGGUCAGGUAGAGAAUACCAAGGCGCUUGAGAGAACUCGGGUGAAGGAACUAGGCAAAAUGGUGCCGUAACUUCGGGAGAAGGCACGCUGACACGUAGGUGAAGUGAUUUACUCAUGGAGCUGAAGUCAGUCGAAGAUACCAGCUGGCUGCAACUGUUUAUUAAAAACACAGCACUGUGCAAACACGAAAGUGGACGUAUACGGUGUGACGCCUGCCCGGUGCCGGAAGGUUAAUUGAUGGGGUCAGCGCAAGCGAAGCUCCUGAUCGAAGCCCCGGUAAACGGCGGCCGUAACUAUAACGGUCCUAAGGUAGCGAAAUUCCUUGUCGGGUAAGUUCCGACCUGCACGAAUGGCGUAAUGAUGGCCAGGCUGUCUCCACCCGAGACUCAGUGAAAUUGAACUCGCUGUGAAGAUGCAGUGUACCCGCGGCAAGACGGAAAGACCCCGUGAACCUUUACUAUAGCUUGACACUGAACAUUGAGCCUUGAUGUGUAGGAUAGGUGGGAGGCUUUGAAGUGUGGACGCCAGUCUGCAUGGAGCCGGCCUUGAAAUACCACCCUUUAAUGUUUGAUGUUCUAACGUGGACCCGUGAUCCGGGUUGCGGACAGUGUCUGGUGGGUAGUUUGACUGGGGCGGUCUCCUCCUAAAGAGUAACGGAGGAGCACGAAGGUUGGCUAAUCCUGGUCGGACAUCAGGAGGUUAGUGCAAUGGCAUAAGCCAGCUUGACUGCGAGCGUGACGGCGCGAGCAGGUGCGAAAGCAGGUCAUAGUGAUCCGGUGGUUCUGAAUGGAAGGGCCAUCGCUCAACGGAUAAAAGGUACUCCGGGGAUAACAGGCUGAUACCGCCCAAGAGUUCAUAUCGACGGCGGUGUUUGGCACCUCGAUGUCGGCUCAUCACAUCCUGGGGCUGAAGUAGGUCCCAAGGGUAUGGCUGUUCGCCAUUUAAAGUGGUACGCGAGCUGGGUUUAGAACGUCGUGAGACAGUUCGGUCCCUAUCUGCCGUGGGCGCUGGAGAACUGAGGGGGGCUGCUCCUAGUACGAGAGGACCGGAGUGGACGCAUCACUGGUGUUCGGGUUGUCAUGCCAAUGGCACUGCCCGGUAGCUAAAUGCGGAAGAGAUAAGUGCUGAAAGCAUCUAAGCACGAAACUUGCCCCGAGAUGAGUUCUCCCUGAGACUUUAGGUCUCCUGAAGGAACGUUGAAGACGACGACGUUGAUAGGCCGGGUGUGUAAGCGCAGCGAUGCGUUGAGCUAACCGGUACUAAUGAACCGUGAGGCUUAACCUU